rnacentral:misc_RNA from 1 species
GAAAUGCGAUAAGUAGUGUGAAUUGCAGAAUUCAGUGAAUCAUCGAAUCUUUGAACGCACAUUGCGCCCUUUGGUAUUCCUUAGGGCAUGCCUGUUCGAGCGUCAUCUAAACCUUCAAGCCCUGCUUGGUGUUGGGUGCCUGUCCCGCCUCCGCGCGCGGACUCACCUCAAAUCCAUUGGCGGCCCCCGCGUCGGCGACGAGCGCAGCAGAAACGCGAACUCGUGAGCCCGUCCGGGCGGCUCCCAGAAGCUACACCCACCCAGUUUGACCUCGGAUCAGGUAGGGAUACCCGCUGAACUUAAGC